CAGUCGCCGCGGGAAAACGAGGGGUGCAAGCGUUACUCGGAAUUACUGGGCGUAAAGCGUGCGUAGGUGGUGGUUUAAGUCCGUUGUGAAAGCCCUGGGCUCAACCUGGGAAUUGCAGUGGAUACUGGAUCACUAGAGUGUGGUAGAGGAUAGUGGAAUUUCCGGUGUAGCAGUGAAAUGCGUAGAGAUCGGAAGGAACAUCUGUGGCGAAGGCGACUAUCUGGGCCAACACUGACACUGAGGCACGAAAGCGUGGGGAGCAAACAGGAUUAGAGACCCCUGUAGUCCCUGUCUCUUAUAC
rnacentral:rRNA from 1 species